rnacentral:rRNA from 1 species
CAUGCAAGUCGAACGGAAAGUGCUCUUCGGAGUGACUCGAGUGGCGAACGGGUGAGUAACACGUGGGUGAUCUGCCCUGCACUUUGGGAUAAGCCUGGGAAACUGGGUCUAAUACCGGAUAGGACCACAUGCUUCAUGGUGUGUGGUGGAAAGCUUUUGCGGUGUGGGAUGGGCCCGCGGCCUAUCAGCUUGUUGGUGGGGUAAUGGCCUACCAAGGCGACGACGGGUAGCCGGCCUGAGAGGGUGUCCGGCCACACUGGGACUGAGAUACGGCCCAGACUCCUACGGGAGGCAGCAGUGGGGAAUAUUGCACAAUGGGCGCAAGCCUGAUGCAGCGACGCCGCGUGAGGGAUGACGGCCUUCGGGUUGUAAACCUCUUUCAACUACGACGAAGCGCAAGUGACGGUAGUAGUAGAAGAAGCACCGGCCAACUACGUGCCAGCAGCCGCGGUAAUACGUAGGGUGCGAGCGUUGUCCGGAAUUACUGGGCGUAAAGAGCUCGUAGGUGGUUUGUCGCGUUGUUCGUGAAAACUCACA